rnacentral:rRNA from 1 species
UCAUAUUUACAUUCCUAUAGUGUUAAUACAUUGGAUCCCAUUAGAAAUCCACAGUUAAGCAUUCUUGGGCUAGAAUAGUACUAGGAUGGAAUUUUACAUGUCUAUGGA